rnacentral:rRNA from 1 species
AGCGAACGCUGGCGGCAGGCUUAACACAUGCAAGUCGAGCGCCCGUAGCAAUACGGGAGCGGCAGACGGGUGAGUAACAUGUGGGAACAUGCCCUUUGGUUCGGAAUAACCCAGGGAAACUUGAGCUAAUACCGGAUAAGCCCUUACGGGGAAAGAUUUAUCGCCAAAGGAUUGGCCCCGCGUCUGAUUAGCUAGUUGGUGGGGUAAUGGCCCACCAAGGCUACGAUCAGUAGCUGUUCNGAGAGGAUGAUCAGCCACAUUGGGACUGAGACAC